GACGAACGCUGGCGGCGUGCCUAAUACAUGCAAGUAGAACGCACAGUUUAUACCGUAGCUUGCUACACCAUAAACUGUGAGUUGCGAACGGGUGAGUAACGCGUAGGUAACCUGCCUGGUAGCGGGGGAUAACUAUUGGAAACGAUAGCUAAUACCGCAUAAUAUUGAUUAUUGCAUGAUAAUUGAUUGAAAGAUGCUAUUGCAUCACUACCAGAUGGACCUGCGUUGUAUUAGCUAGUAGGUGAGGUAACGGCUCACCUAGGCGACGAUACAUAGCCGACCUGAGAGGGUGGUCGGCCACACUGGGACUGAGACACGGCCCAGACUCCUACGGGAGGGAGCAGGAGGGAAUCUUCGGCAAUGGACGAAAGUCUGACCGAGCAACGCCGCGGGAGUGAAGAAGGUUGUCGGAUCGGAAAGCUCGGUUGUAAGAGAAGAACGGGUGUGAGAGUGGAAAGUUCACACUGUGACGGUAUCUUACCAGAAAGGGACGGCUAACUACGUG
rnacentral:rRNA from 1 species